rnacentral:rRNA from 1 species
CCUACGGGUGGCUGCAGUGGGGAAUAUUGGACAAUGGGGGGAACCCUGAUCCAGCCAUGCCGCGUGUGUGAAGAAGGCCCUCGGGUUGUAAAGCACUUUCAGUGAGGAAGAACGCCUGGUGGUUAAUACCCAUCAGGAAAGACAUCACUCACAGAAGAAGCACCGGCUAACUCCGUGCCAGCAGCCGCGGUAAUACGGAGGGUGCGAGCGUUAAUCGGAAUUACUGGGCGUAAAGCGCGCGUAGGUGGCUUGAUAAGCCGGUUGUGAAAGCCCCGGGCUCAACCUGGGAACGGCAUCCGGAACUGUCAAGCUAGAGUGCAGGAGAGGAAGGUAGAAUCCCCGGUGUAGCGGUGAAAUGCGUAGAGAUCGGGAGGAAUACCAGUGGCGAAGGCGGCCUUCUGGACUGACACUGACACUGAGGUGCGAAAGCGUGGGUAGCAAACAGGAUUAGAUACCCGAGUAGUC